rnacentral:rRNA from 1 species
AUGGACAUCGUCCGCGCCGUCAGCGACGCCAUGGCGCGCGGCUGCAGCAUAGCCAAGGCGACAUUCGUGAUCCUGGGCGAGAAGAUCGACAUCCAGUGCACUGACGAGGACCUCGCCGGCCACGCGACGCGCCUCCUGUCUUGCCUGGACGCAUGCCCCCGCGCGUUCGCCGGCCUCACGGCGCUGCACGUGGAGAGCGUUAAGCUGGGACAGUCGGACAUCAACAACCUGCUCGGUACCUGCUGCAGGCUGAAAAGCCUCUCUCUGCUCAACUGCGAUUCUGGCCGCGACACGGCCCUGGUCGUCCAACACCCGCGGAUCGCGGUGCUGAAGCUCGUGACCUGCGCCACCAUCGAACUGAGGUGGCUCCCGGAGCUGGUGAAGCUGACCUGUGAGUGCUGGCUUCCUUCACGAAAUCCACUCUUGUUUGGCCACGCCCCGCGGCUUCGGACUCUAGUACUCGCUACUAACUGCACCAGUGACUGCAAGAUACUAAGGUUGAGCGAAUUACUUGACAAGAAUGCUACCAUCCGUGAAGUGUGGAUGGGCUUCGACUCCGAGAGGCUCUGGAUUCAGCCGGAGGGACCGAGGCAACUGGCUCCUCGACUAAGCAACUUGAGGAUUCUGAAUCUGCAUGAGAUUCCUCAAGAAUGCGGCAUCACGUGGACAUUCUUCCUGCUAGAGGCCGCACCUCUAUUGGAGGAGCUCGACAUUGAGGUAUCGAACCACCAGUGCAACCCAUUGGAGGAUGAGAUGCUAAGGGAACGUCUAGUUUGCAAGAAAACAUUUAUCGAGUGGGAACCAUCUGAUUUCAAGCGAUAUAACUUGGCCGUGCUCACGAUCUAUGGUUUUCGACCCGAGAAAAUAUUCAUGGGGUAUAUUACAAGGAUCAUGGAAGUGGUUGUGAAUUUGGAAGAAAUAUCUCUUCAUGAUGAUUUCUGUCACGAUUGCAUAUUUUGUCCAUCGACGACAUAUCCCCAAACCAGGACAGAGAGAAACUUGAUACGAAAGGAAAUUAAUGAAGGGAGGUCGUCCCCUAUCAACACUAUCCUCUUC